rnacentral:lncRNA from 1 species
AUGGGCUGGGGCAGGACGAGCGGGUGGCUGUGUGUGUACUUCCUGGCUGUGCUUACCAGCCCUUGGUGGAGGAAGAUUCUCUCACUCACCCCUGUGCACAGAAAGGAGCACUUGGACCUGGAGCUGGAGGCCCCCAUGCCCCACGCCAGACCCUUGGGCUCCCCUGAGCAGCCCCAUGAGCCUCAGCAGCAGCAAGGAAAAACAACCCCAGCUCUAAGUGUGGCCUGCUCCAAGCUGCUGGCUUUGCAGCCCUCUGAGCCACGUUUGGUGUCGACCUUUGAGCAGGAGGACUUCCAAGUGUCCAGGCUAAAUUCUUGCUCUCCCCCUCCCUUUUCGUCCCUCCUAGCUCCGGUGCACACUGAGUGGAAUGGGAAGUACAUCUCCAGGACUUGCAGGAAGUCAGGGUGCCCAGCCCGAAAAGGAAAACAUCAGGGCGGGAAGAGACAGGCCCCGCCUGGCCCUGCCACUCCAUCUGCCCAACAGGCCCCCGGAGAGCGCUUGCCGGUGUCAGUUUCAGGUAAAGAGCUCUUGAAAGCGCAAAGCCUUCUGGGGUCACAAGGGCUCCGGAGUCUCCCGAGCCCCGCAGCCCGGGCCCCCUGCAGUCGGAGGCUUGGCGGGGAGAACCCCAAACGCCGAGUUAAGGAAGCCCAGGUGAAUUUCGGGCUUGAAAGCGCCAGUAGGGUGGCCGGGUUCCAACCUCCCACGCUCGCUCACCCCCUGAAGCCUGCCCGCCUCCUGUCCGCAGGGCGCGCCUCAGAGUUGGGCGUGAGCGCAAGGCAGGGGACCAGGCGGCCGGGCUGGGGUUUCCGCCCAGCUGCCUCCAGCCGUCCCCGCCCUGCGCUGGGCCGGGUCAGUCGCCACCUGGCCCAAGGGCACCGGCCUCUCGGGAGAGUCUGAGGACGUUCAGGGGAGGCCUUGGAGUCGCCAGCUCAGCCUGCGCCCUGGAGUGAACCCUGGGGAAACUGAGGCUGAGGCGAGGGUGCAGUGUCUGCGAGGCGUAGCGCUAAGCGGGGCGCCCAGAUCGGACGGUCCUAAGCCCUGUUCCGUCCAGCCCGGGAAGGCCCGGAAAGCACCGCACUGACGAGCG